CAGUUCAGUCUGCAGGCUGAAGAGGAGCGAUGGAAGACAGUCCAAAUGAAAACACCGCAUUAAUUAAAAACAAACCAGCCCGAAUCAGACAUGGCAGGCUAUUCCUUGCGGUUUUUUCAGCUGUUUUGGGCAAUUUUACUUUUGGGUUUGCCUUGGUGUUCCCCUCCCCUGUCAUCCCCCAGCUUCAAAAGGGUGAUGACCCUCGGCUGCAAAUGGACAUCCAUCAAAUAUCAUGGUUUGGUUCAAUUUUCACCCUUGGUGCAGCCUUAGGGGGUAUUAGUGCCAUGGUGCUGAAUGACAGAGUUGGGAGAAAAAUAAGCAUUAUGUUGUCAGGAGUACCAUCUGCUGUAGGUCUCCUUGUGAUGGGGGCUGCACAAAACUUUUGGAUGUUA